rnacentral:rRNA from 1 species
UACGGGGGGGGCAAGCGUUGUUCGGAAUUACUGGGCGUAAAGGGCUCGUAGGUGGCCAACUAAGUCAGACGUGAAAUCCCCAGGCUUAACCUGGGAACUGCAUUCGAGACUGCAUUGCUAGAGUAUGGGAGAGGGAAGUGGAAUUUCCGGUGUGAGCAGUGAAAUGCGUAGAUAUCGGAAGGAACAUCAGUGGCGAAAGCGACUUCCUGGACCAAUACUGACGCUCAUGUGCGAAAGCGUGGGGAGCAAACAGG